rnacentral:rRNA from 1 species
UAACGCGUGGGUAACCUGCCCUUUUUGUGGGGAACAACUUCGAGAAAUCGGAGCUAAUACCGCAUAAUAAUAGAGGAUCGCAUGAUUCUUUAAGGAAAGAUGGCCUCUGAAGAUGCUAUCGCAAAAGGAUGGACCCGCGUCUGAUUAGCUAGUUGGAAGGGUAACGGCCUACCAAGGCAACGAUCAGUAGCCGGCCUGAGAGGGUGAACGGCCACAUUGGGACUGAGACACGGCCCAAACUCCUACGGAAGGCAGCAG